AGCGAACGCUGGCGGCAGGCCUAACACAUGCAAGUCGAACGGACCCUUCGGGGUUAGUGGCGGACGGGUGAGUAACACGUGGGAACGUGCCUUUAGGUUCGGAAUAGUUCCUGGAAACGGGUGGUAAUGACGAAUGUGGCCAUCGGGGGAAAGAUUUGUAGCCUUUAGAGAAGCCCGCUUCUGAAUAGCUAGGUGGUGAGGUAAUGGCUAACCAAGGCUACGAACAGUAGCUGGUCUGGGAGGAUGACAAGCCACAUUGGGAAUGAGACGCGGCCCAAACUCCUACGGGAAGCAGCAGUGGGGAAGCUUGCGCAAUGGGCGAAAGCCUGACGCAGCCAUGCCGCGUGGAUGAUGAAGGUCUUAAGAUUGUAAAAUCCUUUCACCGGUGAAGAUAAUGACUGUAGCCGAAGAAGAAGCCCCGGCUAACUUCGUGCCAGCCGCCGCCGUAAAAC
rnacentral:rRNA from 1 species